UAUCUUUCAUUUACACCUUGGUUUGAAGCACUUUUUGUAGAAUUUCCUUCCUAGUUCAUGUGAAUUGGUGUCUUGGUGUGUGGUUCACGUUUUUUGCUGCAUGGAGAAGUGAUGGGAAGGUUUUCAAUUGGUUUUUUAAAACAUAUUUUAAUUUCUUUUGAGAUAUGGUGCACAUGGGACAAAAAGACAACACAUUUGGUGGCUUAUUGAAGGUUAAAAAUUGAUUUGGUCUUGGUGGAGAGUAGUGAACGGCCAUGUGCUUUUCUUUGGCCAAUUGGACUUUUAAAUUCCUUUGUUAAUAGUCAUUUAGUCAAGUUAAUUGCUAGGAUUAAGUUAGGCUUGUUGGUUUCUUUGGUUUUUAAUUAAUUGAGUUAACAGGUUGAGUUUAAUGUUUUUGAGUUAGUGUUGAAUUUAAUUAUUUUUAACUGUGUUUGUUAAUUUGUUUGUAGCAGUGUUUGAUGUUUGAAUGUUGUCUAAGGUCUUUAAUAGUGUUAAUUUAAUUUCCAUGGAAAGCUUAAAUUAGUUCGAUUGGUCAUUGACGAUAUUGCACUGUUUCCUUGAGAUUCUUGAAUUUUGAUUGUCUGUGCACUCUGGCUUGGUUAAUGUGAAUUCUAUUUUUGCACUUGCAAUUGGGUAUACGCUUAGUUGCCCAGUUGGUGUUACAUCUUCGCUUAGUCGAUGUAACUGCAUGGUGUAAAUUAGAUUUGACAUUAACACUGCGUCCGCUUAGUUCGCUUUUAUGAAAAUCGGGCUAACCUUCGCUUAGUAGGUUAACUCUGUUGGAUUAGAGGUCUGAGUAGCAACUUUAUUUAGAUAAUCUGUGAUGGGAAACAUUGUAAUUAAGUUAAGGACCAACCGUUUUCAUUAUGUGUUGAAACCGUUUUCUUUAGAUCUGUGUUUACAUCUUUGUUUGUAUUUGUGUCUUUAUUGAGUUCUUUAAUUUUUGCAAAACCUUACCAACCCCCCCCCUUUUCGUGUUAGACUCGAUUCUCGAACUGCAAAAGUGGUCUUUGGGAGAUGACCUAGGGGUCAUUCCCUAGCUAUACUGCAUUUCUCAUAUGCAAUCAAAUUUGUAUGGGCCGCGACACCCAUCAAAUUUUGGCGCCGUUGCCGGGGACCAACGGUUCAAUAUUGAGUCUUUUGUCUGUGUUUGUGUGUCUUGUGACUGUGUUUUCACUUAUUCCCCAGUGCUCCUCUAUUCUUUUUGGUUUGUAGCUUCUCAUCCAUAUUUUAUCCUCCCUUGUCCUUGGCCCCAUUACAUCCACAAAGGACCUUUUGAUUUGAACAUGCAUAUGUGUUUGAGUGUUGAUAUUAGAGGCUUGCCAAGUCUGUUUGUGUUUGCUUUCUUGAGGACAUUGAGUUGAAAUUGUUUACCAUAGACACUUGAGAGAAACACUGAUUGUGUGCAUCUGUGAGGUUUUGUGACUUUUGAUUC
rnacentral:lncRNA from 1 species